AGGUUUAAGCUUACGACUUCAGCCGGCCUAAGAUGCGCAAACGAGAAAAUCUCGAGAUAUCACACUCUCGUGUGUAGUUAUAUUGUCGAUAAUGACAUAAUGUCAAAAUCAUUUUUUGACAUUAUGUCGCUAGAUUUUGACGACAGAUCUACACGAGAAAAA